rnacentral:rRNA from 1 species
UAUGCCGGAAUGAGUAGCGAGAGGAAGGUGAGAAUCCUUCCGGCCGAAUAUCCAAGGUUUCCAGAGUAAAGCUGAUCUGCUCUGGGUAAGUCGGGGCCUAAGGCGAGGUCGAGAGACGUAGUCGAUGGAUAACAGGUGGAGAUUCCUGUACUAUGUGUACCCAGAACUGUGGGGACGCAUGUGGAGAGCAUGAGCCGGGAAAGAAAAGACCGGUACAAGCGGGGUAGGAGUAAGGACAGCAAAUCUUCCUUACAAUCCGAAGACGUGAUGUGGACCGAACCAAAGUAGGGAAGCAUGUGAGCCAUGUGCCAAGAAAAGCCGCUAUUGUGAUACACAUACCCGUACCGUAAACCGACACAGGUGGAUGAGGAGAGAAUCCUAAGGCCGACGGAAGAAGCAUUGUUAAGGAACUCGGCAAAAUGACCCCGUAACUUCGGGAGAAGGGGCGCCCUGUGAAAGCAGGGCCGCAGAGAAUAGGCUCAAGCAACUGCUUAGCAAAAACACAGGUCUAUGCGAAACCAAAAGGUGAGGUAUAUGGGCUGACGCCUGCCCGGUGCUGGAAGGUUAAGAGGAGAAGUCAGGCAACGAAGCUUCGAAUUUAAGCCCCAGUAAACGGCGGCCGUAACAAUAACGGUCCUAAGGUAGCGAAAUUCCUUGUCGGGUAAGUUCCGACCCGCACGAAAGGCGUAAUGAUUUGAGCACUGUCUCGACAAUGCAUCCGGUGAAAUUGAAGUACCAGUGAAGAUGCUGGUUACCUGCGCCAGGACGGAAAGACCCCAUGGAGCUUUACUCCAGCUUGAUACUGGGAUUCGAUACUGUAUGUACAGGAUAGGUGGGAGACGUUGAACAUAGAACGCCAGUUUUAUGUGAGUCGCUGUUGGGAUACCACCCUUGCAGUAUUGGAUUUCUAACCUGCACCCAUGACCUGGGUGGGGGACAAUGUCUGGCGGGGAGUUUGACUGGGGCGGUCGCCUCCGAAAGGGUAUCGGAGGCGCUCAAAGGUUCCCUCAGAAUGGUUGGAAACCAUUCGAAGAGUGCAAGGGCAGAAGGGAGCUUGACUGUGACACCGACGGGUGGAACAGGUACGAAAGUAGGACUUAGUGAUCCGGUGGUAUAAAGUGGGAUUGCCAUCGCUCAACGGAUAAAAGCUACCCUGGGAUAACAGGCUUAUCACUCCCAAGAGUUCACAUCGACGGAGUGGUCUGGCACCUGGAUGUCGGCUCAUCGCAUCCUGGGGCUGUAGCAGGUCCCAAGGGUUGGGCUUUCGCCCAUUAAAGCGGUACGCGAGCUGGGUUCAGAACGUCGUGAGACAGUUCGGUCCCUAUCCGGCGCAGGCGGAGGAUAUUUGAGAGGAGCUGUCCUUAGUACGAGAGGACCGGGAUGGACGGACCACUGGUGUAUCUGUUGGCUAUCGGAGCCAUGGCAGAGUAGCCAAGUCCGGCAGGGAUAAACGCUGAAGGCAUCCAAGCGUGAAGCCCCCCUCAAGAUGAGAUAUCCCUCAGAAAUGAGUAAGACCCCUUGAAGACUACGAGGUAGAUAGGAAUGAGGUGUAAGCACAGCAAUGUGUUCAGCUGACAUUUACUAAUCGGUCGAGGGCUUGACCU